rnacentral:rRNA from 1 species
UCCAGACUCCUACGGGAGGCAGCAGUGGGGGAUAUUGCACAAUGGGGGGAACCCUGAUGCAGCGACGCCGCGUGAGUGAAGAAGUAUUUCGGUAUGUAAAGCCCUAUCAGCAGGGAAGAAGAAAUGACGGUACCUGAGUAAGAAGCACCGGCUAAAUACGUGCCAGCAGCCGCGGUAAUACGUAUGGUGCAAGCGUUAUCCGGAUUUACUGGGUGUAAAGGGGGCGCAGACGGCGAUGCAAGCCAGGAGUGAAAGCCCGGGGCCCAACCCCGGGACUGCUCUUGGAACUGCGCGGCUGGAGUGCAGGAGGGGCAGGCGGAAUUCCUGGUGUAGCGGUGAAAUGCGUAGAUAUCAGGAGGAACACCGGUGGCGAAGGCGGCCUGCUGGACUGCGACUGACGUUGAGGCCCGAAAGCGUGGGGAGCAAACAGGAUUAGAUACCCGCGUACAA